GAUGAACGCUGGCGGCGCGCCUAACACAUGCAAGUCGAACGGUUAAAGCACCUUCGGGUGUGUAUAAAGUGGCGAACGGCUGAGUAACACGUGGGCAACCUGCCCCUCGCACCGGGAUAGCCUCGGGAAACCGUGGUUAAUACCGGAUACUCCGCGACCCACGCAUGGGGGACGCGGGAAAGCCCAGACGGCGAGGGAUGGGCCCGCGGCCUGUUAGCUUGUUGGCGGGGAAGUGGCCCACCAAGGCGAUUAUGGGGAGCCGGGUUGAGAGACCGACCGGCCGGAUUGGGACUGAGACAGGGCCCAGACUCCUACGGGGGGCAGCAGUGGGGAAUCUUGCACAAUGGGCGAAAGCCUGAUGCAGCGACGCCGCGCGCGUGACGAAGGCCUUCGGGUUGUAAACCGCUUUCAGCAGGGACGAGGCCGCAAGGUGACGGUACCUGCAGAAGAAGCCCCGGCUAACUACGUGCCAGCCGCCGCCGUAACAC
rnacentral:rRNA from 1 species